rnacentral:lncRNA from 1 species
CGUAGCCGCAGAACAAAAACGCGAGAGCUACUUUUGAAUAUUUCUACAAUUUUAAGUAGUUUUCCACUCACAAACACAAUAAUAUUUUCAACAUUUAUUAAAAUAUUUUAUUUUGACACUUUUUUACUUUUACGUUGUUUUAAAAUAUGAAUUUGACUUGAAUUUGGGACCCCGCUAACAUGUUUAACCCCGCCACAUUCAAAAUGUAUGUGCCUGUCCCAAGUCAGGAGCCUGUAAUUCAGUGGUUGUCGUUUGUUUAUGUGUUACAUUUUUGUUUUUCGUUCAAUUUUUGUGCAUAAAUAAGGCCGUUAGUUUUCUUGUUUGAAUUGUUUUACAUUGUCAUUUCGGGGCCUUUUAUAACUGACUAUGCGG